rnacentral:rRNA from 1 species
UUAAAUUGAAGAGUUUGAUCAUGGCUCAGAUUGAACGCUGGCGGCAGGCCUAACACAUGCAAGUCGAACGGUAACAGGAAGCAGCUUGCUGCUUYGCUGACGAGUGGCGGACGGGUGAGUAAUGUCUGGGAAAC